GACCCGCGUCUGAUUAGCUAGUGGUGAGGUAAUGGCUCACCAAGAAGAAAUUUCAGGGGGUCCGCUCAAGGGUGGCCACAUGUGGUUUAGUUUGAAACAAGGCCCAGACUCUUACCACAUUCAGCAAUGCCGAAUCUUCCGCAGAGAUGUAGAGCUUCAUUCAGGCAUUCCGACACGAUGAUGAAGUUGUUGUGAUCGUAUAAUCUUUUCAGAUGUGGCGAUAAUUCCGGCACCGAGAGCAGAAGUCCCGGUUAAUUUCUAGCCAGCAUCCGUGGUAAUUCGAACGGGGCCAGCGUUGGUAAGAAUUAGGAGGGUGAAAAGGAGGUCAGGUCGUCAUGUACGUUGCGGGGUGGAGCCCGGGGGUCAACCUAGGAAUUGCACUCAAGGCUGCAAUUCUGGGAGGCGGGGGCAGUGAGUGGAACUCGUAGUGUAGAGGUGAAAUUUGAAGAACUCGGAAGCACACCAGGGAAAAGGAGUAACCGU
rnacentral:rRNA from 1 species